GCAGCUGAUGUCUGUGGUGGGUAGUCCUCUCAUCAGUCCUAGCAAGCAUCUUUAGCAGAAGAAUUGGCUGUCUGGGCAGCUAUCUGAUAUCUAGGGGAUCCAGAGAGUCUGUACAGGUAACCGAGGCCACCCACGGAUAUGGAAUCCAAUGGAAGCUGCCCAGACAGAAGACGAUUGAAGGUGUCCAGAGCUGCUAGGAGUCCAGACCUUCAAAAACCAUGCCAUGUCUAGAAGAACAACAGCUUUAUACAGCACUCCUUCCCACCCUAUAGCUAUUACAGUCUUUCUGUACCCCUUUUUCUUCAUUCCCUGAGCCCUGAAUGGAGAUAUUUAUUCAGAUAUCCAGUUUAGAGAGAAGCACUCGGUAACCAUACACUCUCACAUUAAGAGACUCUGCAUUAAGCAUUCCCCAGUACUUGUAAGAUUAGGAAUCACUAGAUAAGUGGUUUUUCAACUUUCCUAACCCUUUAAGUUCCUCAUGUUGUAGUGACCCCCCCCAACCAUAAAAUUAUUUUUGUUGCAA